AGUGAACGCUGGCGGUAGGCCUAACACAUGCAAGUCGAACGGCAGCACAGUAAGAGUUUGCUCUUACGGGUGGCGAGUGGCGGACGGGUGAGGAAUACAUCGGAAUCUACUUUUUCGUGGGGGAUAACGGAGGGAAACUUACGCUAAUACCGCAUAUGAUGUACGGGUGGAAGCAGGGGAUCUUCGGACCUUUGGCGAUUCAAUGAGCCGAUGUCGGAUUAGCUAGUUGGCGGGGUAAAGGCCCACCAAGGCGACGAUCCGUAGCUGGUCUGAGAGGAUGAUCGGCCACACUGGAACUGAGACACGGUCCAGACUCCUACGGGAGGCAGCAGUGGGGAAUAUUGGACAAUGGGCGCAAGCCUGAUCCAGCAAUGCCGCGUGAGUGAAGAAGGCCUUCGGGUUGUAAAGCCCUUUUGUUGGGAAAGAAAAACAGCAGGUUAAUACCCCGCUGUUCUGACGGUACCCAAACAGUAAGCACCGGCUAACUUCGUG
rnacentral:rRNA from 1 species